UACAAAAUUUGCAUAGAAUGGCCGUAAAUUUAAUCCAAGCAACAGACAAGCCAAAUUUGAAAAAUCGAAAUUAAAUACUUUUCCACUGCGAUGGAAGCAGUUUUUUCAUUCUCAUUUGCGAAUUUUCACAUUUCGCUGACAGCUCAUAACUUCUGGCCAUGAAUGCGCUUCGAAGGGGUGGGACUGGUGGGAUGGUGGAGCGCAUUAUGCAUAAAUUCCCGUUAAUUAAAAGCGCCACAAAGUGCACGAGAUGGUCAUGGAGAGGGAGUGGGAGUGGGAGCGCGAACGAAAUGGAUAUAGAAUAAGAGAAUAGAGGGCUUGAAGGAUAUGGUCCCUAAUGCAGGCCCAAUAUAAAAUAUGCGUGUCGGUAAUUUGAGGAAUGCAACAGAGGACCAAAGGCCCCGUAAAUUUUCAAGAGCUUGCCCAGCCGGGCAGCUGAGAAUGGAACUCACACGCCACCCUUCACCCGAUAUGUCCUGCCCCCCAGUGCAGUCCCCGCUUCCUACAUUGAACUCGACCAACCCAAACGGAAGCGGAAGUUGCAGCAAAUGGCGUAUGAGAUUGAGUGUGUGUGGAAGUGCCAAGGAGAGCAUGUUGGGGGGAGACCAGCAUGACCCGACUGUCCUCGUAACAAGAGUCCUGACCAUGCACACACAAACAGGAUAACGACGAUAACUACAACCAGGAACCUUUCAUGUUGAAGGGGGCCUUUGGAGGGCAAAAUAUUUACACAUACUAAAUCAGGAGAAAGCCCUCGAGUGCAGGCCGACUUGGGAGUGUGUGUGUUUGGGUUUUCAAUGACCUUGUAAGGAUGUUUGCUCUUUUUGUUGAGCUGAGCUUUGGCUGCAAUCUGCGAGUGGUUCGCCAACAAUUAUGCAAUUAAGGCUACCUUAGUGGCACUUGACAAAUGCUCCCCGAGCUACUCAAAUAUUUUUCACCAUCCGCCAUUCAUGGAGCAUAAUAAACUAUUCAUUAGCAUUGAAAACGCUGUCAGAAGCAGCGACAUUUAGGCCAUAACUCAUCAGCGCUUUAUUGGCGCAAAGAAAAUCCGUUGAGUGAUAAAUAACAUUUCUGUUUUCGAAAUUAUCAUAAAUCGCAGAGGCAUAAAAAGGGGGAUGAUUGAGUGAAAAUUUAAAGGUGAAUUUAUUGAAAUGGAAAAUUUGCUCCCUCCAUCGACCCCAGACAGACUUCAAGAGUCAUAUUCAACCUUGUUAUAUGGCAGACAACUUACAUAAAUAAAUUGCUGUCACCA